UCGUAACAAGGUUUCCGUAGGUGAACCUGCGGAAGGAUCAUUACCGAGUGCGGGCCCUCUGGGUCCAACCUCCCAUCCGUGUCUAUCUGUACCCUGUUGCUUCGGCGUGGCCACGGCCCGCCGGAGACUAACAUUUGAACGCUGUCUGAAGUUUGCAGUCUGAGUUUUUAGUUAAACAAUCGUUAAAACUUUCAACAACGGAUCUCUUGGUUCCGGCAUCGAUGAAGAACGCAGCGAAAUGCGAUAAUUAAUGUGAAUUGCAGAAUUCAGUGAAUCAUCGAGUCUUUGAACGCACAUUGCGCCCCCUGGUAUUCCGGGGGGCAUGCCUGUCCGAGCGUCAUUGCUGCCCUCAAGCACGGCUUGUGUGUUGGGCUUCCGUCCCUGGCAACGGGGACGGGCCCAAAAGGCAGUGGCGGCACCAUGUCUGGUCCUCGAGCGUAUGGGGCUUUGUCACCCGCUCCCGUAGGUCCAGCUGGCAGCUAGCCUCGCAACCAAUCUUUUUAACCAGGUUGACCUCGGAUCAGGUAGGGAUACCCGCUGAACUUAAGCAUAUCAAUAA
rnacentral:misc_RNA from 4 species